AUAUCAGUAAGCGGGGGAAAAGAAACUAACAAGGAUUCCCUUAGUAACGGCGAGUGAAGCGGGAAAAGCUCAAUUUUAAAAUCUCUCGGGUCCCCCGAGCGAAUUGUGGUUUAAAGAAGCGCUUUCUGGGGCCGCUUGGGUGAAAGUCCGUUGGAACACGGCAUCAGAGAGGGUGAGAAUCCCGUGCUGAACCCAAAGUGAGCUUCUCUGUGAUGCGUCUUCGAAGAGUCGGAUAGCUUGGGAAUGCUGUCCUAAUUGGGAGGUAAACAUCUUCUAAAGCUAAAUAUUGGCGAGAGACCGAUAGCGCACAAGUA
rnacentral:rRNA from 1 species